AUAUCUUAUGUUUUAUGUUCUUCUUGACUCUUCCUUUUUAAUUUUUAUCCUAAAUUUCUUUUUUGCUUUCAGGCUGUCAAGAAAGUCGCUGAUGCAAACUCCUAAGAUUUUAGGCUUAUAAAUACAAGCAGCAUCUCUCUUUAUGGAGUCUGGGUGUUCUGGAAUUGCUUAAUCUAGCGAUGCAGAGAGUCAACGAGCGGAGAACAACUUGAAACGACGAAAUGCAUACUCAAGAAUGGAUCCUAAUAAAAAACGAAAGAUGUUAGAUGAGAAAAACGAAAAGCGUCGAGCCAAGCUUAGGGAAGCCCAGUCUUCACAACUUCAUGCCAUCAAUACUGGUAUGCUUUUUAAUUCUUAAAAUAUGUCUUUUGUCUGAGUUUAAUUCAUGAACGUAUAUACAAGGGAACUAACUUAUUUAACAUGCCUUUGAUUGAUACA